rnacentral:rRNA from 1 species
GAUGAACGCUGGCGGCGUGCCUAAUACAUGCAAGUCGAGCGAACGGACGAGAAGCUUGCUUCUCUGAUGUUAGCGGCGGACGGGUGAGUAACACGUGGAUAACCUACCUAUAAGACUGGGAUAACUUCGGGAAACCGGAGCUAAUACCGGAUAAUAUUUUGAACCGCAUGGUUCAAAAGUGAAAGACGGUCUUGCUGUCACUUAUAGAUGGAUCCGCGCUGCAUUAGCUAGUUGGUAAGGUAACGGCUUACCAAGGCAACGAUGCAUAGCCGACCUGAGAGGGUGAUCGGCCACACUAGAACUUAGACACGGUCCAGACUCCUACGGGAGGCAGCAGUAGGGAAUCUUCCGCAAUGGGCGAAAGCCUGACAGAGCAACGCCGCGUGAGUGAUGAAGGUCUUCGGAUCGUAAAACUCUGUUAUUAGGGAAGAACAUAUGUGUAAGUAACUGUACACAUCUUGACGGUACCUAAUCAGAAAGCCACGGCUAACUACGUG